AGAUAUGCGAUGAAGCGGGAGGUUGCCGCCUUGAGCGGGUAAUUUCCGCAGAGUAUGUCCGAUUUUAAACCGGGCGACAC
rfam:[Clostridium] cellulosi genome assembly, chromosome: I